CACCACUCAAGCCUCGCUUGGUAUUGGGCAACGCGGUCCGCCGCGUGCCUCAAAUCGACCGGCUGGGUCUUCUGUCCCCUAAGCGUUGUGGAAACUAUUCGCUAAAGGGUGCUCGGGAGGCUACGCCGUAAAACAACCCCAUUUCUAA
rnacentral:misc_RNA from 2 species